GCCUGAUCUGCUACAGCUUCAAUGUUGGAAAACAGUACCCAAAACAAAAGUACCCUGGCUCAACUUCAGCAGCUGGUUUAAGAGCUCCACCCAGUUCAUGUCAGCUAUAUUUUGUUAGGACUAACUUCAGAGGGGCUGGAGCCAGCCUUUAAAUCCAGAGGCUUUGGUCUUGGAAGGGUUUGGUGUCCAGCAGCCUUUCUACUGGUAUUAAUGGCAGGAGCCGGCUUUUGCUGUCGAUUGACUUGCUCUGUGGGUAGUCCUGCCAGGAAGCACUGCUGGUCUCUGUGCAAAGGAAUUUUGGACUCAAGGCCUACCGUGUAAAAAAGAUGCUGAAAAUGAGAUUACCAGAAUGUGAUCUGGCUUUUGUGAUUGGAGUUUGCAGAAGAGUCUCUGCAGGGAUCUCUCCAAUGGAUUUGGCCAACCCGUGUUCCUUAGUUUUUCACUGAAGCAGACUUAAGCUAGAACUCUUAUGAAGCCUUGACUGCAGGACUGCUUCUUCAGCUCUUUCACCACCAUCCUUUUGGUAAAGCCAAUUCUGUUUUUCUGGAAUUUUUAAAAAUGUUUCACCCAUCUAACCCAAGGUAGCUGGUCAGCACUUUGCCUGGGCUCACUUUAACCUGGAGAGUUGAUGACUCACAACUGACUUGGCAUUUACAGUGUGCCCGCUGCAGUUUGGUGUGUGCUGAAACUGCAAUGAGUGACAAUAUCCCCAAUUAGCGGCUUGAUAAUUCAUUUUUAAAGGUUCUACUUAAAUUUACUUUACAGCAGUCCUUAUUACAGACCAAGUUCAUCACCAAGAAAAAGCAUUGGAUUUAUUUUUCAUAGGCUAGACACUUAAUGAAUACAUCUGUUAUUUGGAAUUCAGAUGUUUGCAGAUAUAGGACUGGGGUUUACAGCUGCAAAAGAGAACAAGUUUUAGAAGACACUGAAACCACCUUGUGAGAAUUCUGCCAUUUAUAAACGUCCAAACGCAUACCACUCACUUGGACAAAGGCAAUAUAUCCAAAAGCAAAUUGAAUGAAUUGCACUGCCUGCUUUUAGGAAAAGAAUGUAUUUAUUCUUCAUAUGAAAUUGAGAUUUUCUCUCUGUCUAGUUAUGAAACAUCAAUUUAAACUUUAUAACAUAUUCACAUAUUUACAUAUGCAGCUUCAGACCUGUAUUGUUUGAAUAAAUGUGCACCUUUGCUGACAUGACUGUGGGCUGCAAUGCAGGCCAGAGGAGCCAUGUUCAGAUUGCUGGGGAAAAAAAUAACAAACAAUAGAUGAAUGGCUUGGAAACUUUAGUCCCAAGCUGGAAUCUGACAGUUCUAUAAACAAAGCUGCAUCUGUGUCACACUUGGAGGAUGACAGAGCGCUUAUACCAUCCUACAGUUAUUUGUCAGCUUAGGGAACAUUCAGUCAUUCAAAAAUUUAUUGGGGAAGAGUCAAAGAGUCUUGUCUUUUUGACCACCUCCUACAGAACGUCCUGGAUAAUGGCAGCAUCACCACGGUCACCCAAACAUGGGCUACACAGUGUGCCUGCUCGCAUGUGUUGCAGUAUAGUGAACACGUGCAGGGGGUGGUAAGCUGUAUUCUGAAAGCACUGCAUCCAUGGCUUGCAGCUAUCUAGCUCCUGUAAAUCACUGGCACAACAUUUUCAUGUUCAAAAUGCUCCAAGACAUUAGCGAAUGAAUGAAUCAAAAGAUGUUCUCAGGAAAAGCAAUAAGUAUACUCACACAGUCACAAUGGGAAUUUGAUCAUGCCCAAUACAACAGUGUAUCUGAAUCAAAGUGAGAGAUUUUCUUUCUGAAAGGGCUCCAUUUCUUAACAAAGCAACACUAUCACAGACAUUUUGUGAAUACUCUUACAACAACCACGAUUAAUAAAUACUGCUGGAUGCUAGUGGGGUACUAGGCUAGAAAUCAGGACAAGUGGAAUCUUACCUUUGUUCCUCUGACACAGUUAUGAGACACAUCCAGGAUUUUCCAGAGCAAGCAAUUCUGGAUAGCCAGCUUGCAAAGUAGUGCAUGACCCUGAGGUCUGGAAGGAACAGAAAACAGCUGUGUGUAAGGUGAGACACCAAACCACAAGUACCCUAAACCAGUGGUCACUUUUGGCCUAUUUAAUGUUUGCCAGCUUAGAUACUUAUUUUCUGAAUCAUAAUGAUUUCUUGUAAAGUAUUCUGAGGCUGCAAAAUGGAGACAGCUAUUAAAGAGACCUUUUUUUUUUGACUGUCAUUUUCUAUUCCUGCUGCUCUGGUGUUUGAUUACAUUUGAGACAUGGGAAUAUACAAAAGCACACGCUUAUUGUGGUGUGUUGUUUACAAGGUUAUUCUUGCACGUGCUCGCCUGCUUGCUCGCUCCCACAUACAGCCUCACUCCCAUUACUGUUACCAUUUCCAAGGCAAGGAGAUGCGCUGCUUUAUGGGCCAUCUGUCAGGCAGUGCCGGGGCACUGUAUAUUGAUGCCAUGUUUGUAGCUAUCUCUUAUUUGAAACAAAGUUCAGUUCAAAGCACUUCCAAGUAUAGAAAGGGGAGAAAAAAGAUGUUAAUGUGUUUAGAUUACAUUAAAGUUUUAAGAUUAACUAAAAGAAAGGGAGAAAAAAAGUCUGCUAAUGGGUAGAGCUCAGUGGAGAGGCAUUAUUAUAUUACUACUAAUGCACAUAAAGCAUCUCCUAUUAAAAAGGGAUGGCAGUUUUACAUCCUAUUAAAUAUAUCAAAGCUGUACUUCAAUUACAAAUCCUUUCAUAUGCAUGUUUUAACAAAUAUGUCUUUGAUAAUAGAGUGCAGCAGUAGCUUUUUAAAUGCUAAACAAGAUCCCUACAAUACAGCUCACAGAUAGAAAAGUACUAGAAGAAGGAAGGUCUAUUUGACAGGGAAGGGAGGGCUGUAUUUCAAUAUUUUCAUUGCCUCUGUAGCUCACAAGACAGAGUUUAUAAACCAUUCCAGAGAGCAUAGUAGGACAUUGAUAAAAUAGCACAACCUGCAAACAGUACACUGAAGGAGUUUGGCAAGCUGCUGUUGUUUUUCCACAUUGUUAUCUUGGAAAACAAG
ensembl:lncRNA